AGAGCAAUUAUCCUGUUUAGCCAUUUUAACCCAGAAGCACACCAUCUGAAUUCAACUGUUGACCACCAAAGACUGUUACUGUCAGGACAGUAACUUGCUUUCCAUUUGCUACAGGAUCUACUCCCAGAGGAGCACAUUAUAGAAUGGCCCUAGGACUGGCAGGCUCUUCCUUGAGGCUGUGGAACUACAAGACCUUGGGGUGCAACCCAACAGAGUGAUUCUCCAGUCAAGAAAGGUUCCUGAUAUUUGUGCUGGCAAGAGUAUUUCCUGUAGAUGCUCUUAAUGUAAAAUGCAGCAUUCUGAGAUCAUGGGAUCUACACUGAAGAACUUUUUUUCUACUUGUAUCUGCUGCCAUGGCUCAAUUUUUCUGAGGACUUGGACACUUCUUUUGUGACCUGAUUUUCUCUAAAAAAGACAACUCCCUCAUCCCUAGAGCCCUUGAAGGUCUCUAGAAGCUUUAGCAAGGCAGAUGAGUCCGCCAACCUAAGCACUCUGCCAGUUUCCAUCCUGUACAUGUUUUUAACCCUCAGGGUAGAGUGAAUGCCUGGAGAUACUCUUUCAUAACAUUUGUUUGGCAAGAAAAAUAGAAAAAAAUGAUAGCAGCCAAGGGUCACAGUUUCUGCAUUCUGCAAGAAUAUCUUUAAGCAUAUUCUGCCUUUAUUUUUGUAAAGUAAAAACUCAGUUUUGUGACAACUCCUUGCAUUCUUCAUUGUUUUGUUUUGUUCCUAGGAUGGGACUAUCACAGCUCUAACUGUAGAUUGCUUAUAGUCUUUGCAUUUUUUUAAUUUGAAAGUGUUAUGCUAUAUCUCCUACUUUUUUCUCUUAUGCAUCCCAUUUCUAUGUUUAAUUUUCAAUUUCUAGAGGAGGCACUCUUAAUUCAGGGAUCACUGUCCCUUAAUGGCACACAUAGAUGAGCCUCUAGAAAUACAUGAACAUUCUCAGAUUUGUGAGCUAAGCAAAAAUAUGUAUACUUGCAUAUAUGUGCAUUUUUUGAGGGAUAGAAUACAUAAAUUUCACAAGAUUUUCAAUACGGUCUAUAAGCCAAAAUAUGUUCAAAAUUAUCACUGUAUACAAAACUAGAGAAAUAUGCCUUAAGAACUUCUUCAGAGAAUGAAAUAAGUGUCUCUGUCCUAAAAAGGAGUUUCUUCUUAGGAAUAUCUUUCCCUUUCUUUGGAGAGUUCUCAUGAAAUGAGGGUAGAACUUUCUGUAUUGUAAAAACUGACUUUGGGAUUGCACUCUCUCACCUAGAGAUUGAGUCUCCUU